GUUGAUUUUAUGGUUUAUUGUCACAUUAAAAAAGUAAUCUUACUGAUGAAUUAAUAUUUACUUUUUAAUAUAAAAGUGCUUAUUCUUACAAAUCCUUAAGGCUCAUUCUGUUACAUUACAGUAAGAUGUUUUACCAUUCCAGAAACUGUGCUACAUGGGUUUCGUAUGAAUUAUAGAAACAGCAAAAUCUCCAAACAGUAAAACAAGUUGUCCAUGGUUCCAUUAUCUUUGUACAUGUGAACUUUUAAAAAUCAGACAAAAUACACAAAAACCAGAAACAAAUCAUUAAUAAUAGAUAGGCUUCCCACCCCUUCUAAACCUUCUGCCAUUGGAACAUAUACACUUUGCUUUGGGGGUUUUGUUUGUUUGGAACAGGACAAAAACAGGUGUGAACAGACAUCAAAUUUAUUUUCUGCCCUUUUAUAGAAGGAAGAGAGGAAGAAGAAAAAAAAGGGGGGGAUUUCAUACGCUUAAUUAGGCAGAUAUGAACAACCACCAAAUUCAAGACCUAUAGGCCCUUGCAUUCCAAACUUCUAGGAAGUAGUCCAGGGAGUAAGAACAAGUCACAAAAUGGUUGGACUUGUUUACUGUGUAUCCAUUUUCAUUUCCUUUAGAAUGAAGAGUUUGUGAGUUCUAGAAGGAAACAAAAAUGUGAACCUCACCAAAGUCACUGGUCGCAUUCAUGGCAUUAAGUAAUCACUCUGCUCAUAUUACUAAAAUACAUAGAUAAAAGCAUAUGAUUUUGACCAUCGUUAGCAAUAUAACUUCCCAUUUUUGAUGCAUAGUGAAACCAUCACACUUAUUUCAAUUAAAAUAGCCAUUGUGUAUCAACAUAAAUCCUGGGCUUUCUCUGUUAGAGGGGCAUCGACAAAUGUCCCCUAAAUGAAUCUCAUGUAAGAAAAAUAAAAUUAAGUUAUCAAUAUAGAAUGAACAGACAAAAUGAAAAUGGUAACUGACCUAAUAAAUACAGCACUUCAAAUCAUUCAUCAGUGCUACAAUGAUAAUAUGUACAUUUUUACAGCAUAAAUUACUGUACAGAAUAGUCCCAUUUAAAAAAAAUUGUUCAAUUCUACAAUCACUAUGACCAAUUCCUGUAAGCAAGGGGCAGGUGAAGGGUCUAUAAUUUGGUAUUGUAGAGACUUAAGUCUGUGUCAUUGGAAAAAUCUAGUUGAAAAUGAGUUGGGCUCCUGAGUUGCCAGUGGCUUCCAGAAAGCCAAGAAUGUGAAAUGAUGUAUAAUGGUCAAGACUUGAAUGGAAUUUGAUGAAACUCACAAGGCCAGAACAAGGUCCUUGAUAUCCUUGUUUUAUAUGACUUACUACUACUGCCGUUUCUAUGAAUAAUUACCAAUUAUUGGCAGUAAACACAACUAUGGAAUUUUAGGUUCCUGCAUGAGGUGAGGAAAAUUAAAAACAGGAUUUCAACAACUUGAUUCUAUAGAUUAACAAAUUCAACACCUACCCCUGAAAGUUUCCUGCAACUACUCAGAGUUACUAUAGGAGAAAUAUUUAACAACACUCUGGUAGAGGAAAAAAGAUGCUGCUAGAAAGUACUAACAGUUACACUUUAUUAUGAUGGGUUUUAAUGCAGCCAGUCCAAUUAUAUUGGAGCCUCUCAUUCAAACAGCCACCAUCCACACUCCACAGAAUUGUGGACAAAUCCCAGAAAAGCUCCAUUUUGUCUCUGGAUUUACUUAAAUUGGGCAGGGUUUUUUGAGUAUGACAUUCUUUGACCAUUUUGAUAGCCUCAGCGGAGAGAGCUGACGAAGUUACCCCUAGUGGCCCAAAGAGAGUAAGUACCAAUAACCACAGUUACUGUUUUAUAUGGCCAGGGUCUUGAGGGACAAUUGGCAACCUAACUGAUGCAGUAUCUAAAUGACACUCAAUACUGGAUGAAAAUUUCAUUUUGUCAUUUACAUAAUCAAUUUCCAUGACCCAAAAUCCUCAAUGAUGAGCUGCAUGUUCCAGUUUUCAUCCAGAUGUUUGGUACUGUGUAAAUAUACUAAGCAUUUGAUGGCCUGAACAAAUCUAGUAUAAUGCAUUUUCCCCCUUCACCUUGAAUUGACAAAUGAUGGGUCCAUAAUUAACCUGACCGUCUGAAAGGUCCUCUCUUAGUCUACUGGAAAUUCUUUUCAUCUUACACCAAGAAGAUUUUUCUUCUCCUAAACUUAGGACAGACUCAGGCCUUAUGCUGGCAGAUCUAACUCUAACACCAAAUCCCUGCAGCACUUUUUGACACAUUUUACCCUCAGAAGGAAAAAAAGGUAUGAGAGUCCCACAGUAUUAAAGGCUAUAGGGAGAUAGAUCAGAAAAGGUUUACAUUACUAAACUAGUGUGAAAAUAGCUCCCGUUUUUAGACUAGGCUCAGCAGCAACUACUUAAACCCUAUUGCAAAUAUCUGAAGCAAGAUAUUCAGUGAUUUAUUUUCCUAUUCGUAGGGAGGUGGUGGGAAGUAGUAACUUGAGAAAGAUUCUUCCUCUUUUCAACAAGAUGAUCUCAUAUUUCACAAGGCCAAACAAUGAAAAGUAUAGGUCACAGGAGAGUGGAAACUAAUUCAUCAAUCAUAAAUUACUUAGUAACUCUGUUACACUUGGCCAAGAGAGUACAUACACUUUUGUUUAAUUAGGACUUUGCACAGGGCUAGAAACAGGGUAGCAACAAAGUUAACAUCUAUCUCCUUCACAUACUGGCCAGAAGGAAAAUGUCCCAGUAUAGGAUCUAUAUUUUCUUCCUCUCCAAUACCAAAGGUAGAGAUUAUUCUAGAUACCCUUCAUUUUUUAGCUUUCUGAAUUGAAAUUGAGGCUAAGAAUCUUUCUUAAAAAAGGUUAUCAGUAGGGAAUGUUUUUUUUUCAUGUUGUGAUUCCCACAGGUGUGAAUAUAGGAGCUUGCAGAUGUACUGAGUAUUCUUUAUGAGUGCUGCUGCCAUAGUAACUGCAUUAAUACCUCUUGAGCACUUGGUAACUUGGGAUCUCAAAAUACAUGAAGAAACCUUUGAUUCUCAGGCUGUCUCGGUGAGGUAGGUGAAUCUCAUUUACCAAGAAAGAAACCGAGGCAUGGAGAAGCAGCUUUGCUCACAGUCACCAACAAGACAGGAGCAGGGAUGGGAUUAGGGGUCACAUUCCCUCCCUCUCCUUAUGUACUGCAAUUUUGCUUCCUCAAAUGCCCAAUCAUGAUUUGACUCUGUCCUACUGAAAAGUGAAAAUGCUAAAUCUCUGACUUUUACAGUAUUGCGUGGGGGGAAAAGACAAGGAAUAAUGCAGGUCACAUAUAAGGGCAUUUUGGUCUGAAUUGACUACUCUAAAAAUCAUAAGGGGUUAUUAAAUAGUAUGCAAAUUUCUGAAGAGUUAAUAUUUAUAUUUUACUACACAAAUAUGUUUGUGUAAUUGUGAAGACUUUGGUGAUGCUACAACAGUUUCUCUGACAAAAAUGGGGUGUUUAUGCAUAGGAUUAUUGCCAUCACAACUUACAAGCCAUGCCCUGGCUUUGAAGUGAUUUGUAUAUUGCGGGGACAAUAUGACAGAAGGGAUAUGAAGAGAAUUACCAUAAAAGCUAAAUUAUCUUUAGCCACAGUGAAUAAGACACAAUUAAGAAAGAUAUUCUCCAGAGGCACAUCUCUGGAUAUAACUAUAUUCCCCCUGUUUUGUUUAGUUUGCUUAGUUUUGAGUAUCCAGGACUCCCCACACAAUUCCUGGAGAAAACAUAAAUUUUGCCUUUUGAAAAAUUGGGGGAAAAAAAAAUCUAGUGAUAACCAUGUAAAGAUGGAAAGAACCUUAGAGAACAUUGUGUCUGACAUCCUAAUUUUACAAAUGAGGAAACCGAGGCACAGAGAAGUUGCGUGUAACUUUUCCAGGGUCACAUAGUUGGUAAGGAAUAAUAAACUAAAAAACACUUACAUUUUAUACCAAGGUCUAUAAAAUUUCCUAAGUUAAGAACCAUUUUUAGAAAUAAAAACAGUUUUUGCCAUAUGAAAUAAAAAGGCUAUUAUUUAGUUUUUCAGAUCUCAUCAAUACUUACUGACACUUAAACAUUUCAGCUGGGCCCAGUGCUCACUAACAAUUACUAUCUUGCAUUCACUUCUCAGAUCAAUGCAUUUUAAAAUUGGCUGUAAGAGGUAAAUUGUCAACUUAAUACACAGGGAUUUAAUCCCUUGAUUCCCAUUAAUAUGAGUGAGAGCUGUGAUGCUAAAUCCCUCUGCAUCCCAUCAAUAGUGUACACCCCUCCCCCAGUGGACUUAAGGUACCAAUUAAUUAUAAAAAAUGAACCAUGGUCAUAUGCAAUUAGUUCAAGAGGGUAGUUUUUGUAAUUUCCUUUAUGUCAAACAAACAAGUGUAGUCUGUCUGAAAGUAGAGUAUUUCAGUUUGGACAAAGGGAAAACGAAUCAGAAGCCUGCCUGAUUUCUUUUUCAUUAGUCAGAAAAGUUUGUUAAAAUUUAUAAAAGCUGUUAUUUUUUAGAAAUGGGCACAUGAGAAAAUAGAACUGACCCCAAAUUUGAAAUUCAGUUUUAUUUGUUUUUGGUUUUCACUUUUCUUUUUAUGUUUUGUAAAUCUCCACUGGUUCCAAGUUGCAGUUAAAAUAGAAGUGUUGCAAAACAAAAAGUGAUUCUUUUGGAAGUUUAGCCUUCACUCAAGUUUAAUCCAAUGUGGGAAAGUCCACUGUCCAAAGGAUACGUUAACUCCAAAGGAUGCUUCCUCAUUGGAAGAUCUCUAAUGCAGGGAAUGCAAAAUAUUCUCUCCCUCCUUUUUUAGAGAAUGACCCAAUCCUUCAUGGUCGGUGCACGAAGGGACCUGCUGCAGAGAUUAACUGAACCAAUCUGAUCAGUUGAAUGUAAUCUCUGAAAGUUACCCAUUGCUACUUUUUGGCCAAAUAUUUGUGAAUAGCUCAAAGAAGUAUGGCAAGAUGAAAAGCAAAAGGGCUUGAAACAACUUCAUCGAAAUGGACAAAGGUAGAAAGAGAGGUUUCUGAAGGGAGAAAGACUUAUGGUGUAAUUUUUUUUUAAAAAGGGGGUUCUUUUUCCCAGGAAGACAUAGCAUGCCAAGCUACCAUUCUAAUACCUACAGUUCUUGAAUUAAAAUUCAUAUUGAGGUUUUUUUUUAAAGGCUAGUAAAUAUUAUAUAAUGGUGCCAGGAAUUGAAAAAUAGCACACUAUUAAGUCAAGUCAUUUGCUCCUUCGGCUAGAGAUGAGCCCAGACACCUCAUUUCGGCACUAACACAAGAUAAUUAGCUAAAAAGUACUUCGGGGAUAAAUCUAUGUAAAGACUCAAAAAUACGUGUGUUUUUGAGGCAUUUUGUUUCUUUUGGACAGUUCCCUGGUGAAUUAGGCAUGUAUGUGUGUGUGUAUAUAUAUAUAUAUAUAUAUAUAUAUAUAUAUAUAUAUAUAUAUGUGCGUAUGUAUAGAUGGACUGUAAGAGGCUUGGAGGGGCAGCAUAAAGAAGGAACGGUAGAAUUCAUGAAGAGAAUAUAUAUCUUUGCAUCAAGAAUUAGGCUUACAAUGUUAAUUAUCUAGUGGAUAUUCAAUAAAAAUAUGCAUAAAAAGGAUGUUUCAUGAAUGAAAGAUUAAUUUGAAAAACAUUUCAAUUCUGAAUUUUUCUUAUAAAAAAUUUAUGGAAUUCAGUUGAUAUUUUUUUACUUACAAUUCAACUUCUCCCAUUUUACAGCAUAAAUCACUUAAUGUAACAUUUGCAACCUCAGAAAGGUAGACAUGUUUAUAAAUUCCAAUUUCAUGAGAAUUAAAAAAAACAGAUAAAUCACAAGAAUAUUCUGUACAUGCAUUAAGGCUGGUGACUGCUAAAGUCUCUUGGGUCUCUAGAAACAGAUAAACCACAAUGUUAACUGGGUGUGCAGAGUGUCUACUUCCUUAGGAAAAAAAAAUUCUGCUUCUUUUGUGUAAUAUAGAUUUUUUUUUUAACAGUAGCUCUUGGAAAAACUGUGAAAACUG
rnacentral:lncRNA from 1 species